rnacentral:rRNA from 1 species
CCUACGGGAGGCAGCAGUGAGGAAUAUUGGUCAAUGGGCGCGAGCCUGAACCAGCCAAGUCGCGUGAGGGAGGACGGCCCUACGGGUUGUAAACCUCUUUUGCCGGGGAGCAACGGGCGUCACGUGUGGUGCCACUGAGAGUACCCGGAGAAAAAGCAUCGGCUAACUCCGUGCCAGCAGCCGCGGUAAUACGGAGGAUGCGAGCGUUAUCCGGAUUUAUUGGGUUUAAAGGGAGCGUAGGUGGAUUGUUAAGUCAGUUGUGAAAGUUUGCGGCUCAACCGUAAAAUUGCAGUUGAAACUGGCAGUCUUGAGUACAGUAGAGGUGGGCGGAAUUCGUGGUGUAGCGGUGAAAUGCUUAGAUAUCACGAAGAACUCCGAUUGCGAAGGCAGUUCACUGGACUGCAACUGACACUGAGGCUCGAAAGUGUGGGUAUCAAACAGGAUUAGAUACCCGUGUAGUC